rnacentral:rRNA from 1 species
UAACGAAAGAGAAGCGAACUCGCGAGAGUAAGCGAAUCUCAAAAAGCCAUCCUCAGUUCGGAUUGGAGUCUGCAACUCGACUCCAUGAAGUUGGAAUCGCUAGUAAUCGCGGAUCAGCAUGCCGCGGUGAAUACGUUCCCGGGCCUUGU